GCGGGGCACAGCAGCUCAUGCCUGUAGUCCCAGCCACUCGGGAGGCUGAGGUGGGAGGAUCGUUUGAGCCCAUGAGUUCUGGGCUGUAGUGUGCUAUGCUGAUCGGGUGUCCGCACUAAGUUUGGCAUCAAUAUGGUGACCUCCAGGGAGCAGGGAACCACCAGGUUGCCUAAGGAGGGGUGAACCUGCCCAGGUCAGAAAUGGAGCAGGUCAAAACCCCCGUGCUGAUCAGUAGUGGGACUGCACUUGUGAAUAGCCGCUGUACUCCAGCCUGGGUAACAUAGCGAGACCCCAUCUCU
ensembl:misc_RNA Metazoa_SRP Metazoan signal recognition particle RNA